GACGAACGCUGGCGGCGUGCUUAACACAUGCAAGUCGAACGGUGAUGCUCCAGCUUGCUGGAGUGGAUCAGUGGCGAACGGGUGAGUAACACGUGAGCAACCUGCCCCAGACUCUGCAAUAAGCGCUGGAAACGGCGUCUAAUACUGGAUACGAAACUGGCCCGCAUGGGCAUGGUUUGGAAAGUUUUUCGGUUUGGGAUGGGCUCGCGGCCUAUCAGCUUGUUGGUGAGGUAAUGGCUCACCAAGGCGACGACGGGUAGCCGGCCUGAGAGGGCGACCGGCCACACUGGGACUGAGACACGGCCCAGACUCCUACGGGAGGCAGCAGUGGGGAAUAUUGCACAAUGGGCGAAAGCCUGAUGCAGCGACGCCGCGUGAGGGAUGACGGCCUUCGGGUUGUAAACCUCUUUCAGCAGGGAAGAAGCGAAAGUGACGGUACCUGCAGAAGAAGCACCGGCUAACUACGUG
rnacentral:rRNA from 1 species